ensembl:lncRNA
UGUCUUUAGCAGAAUGUUGUAAGUCACAGACAUGUUCACAGAUGGCUGGUCUCCCCCAUCCCUUAACGUCUCACACACAUUCACUCCUCUGUACGCUGUUCAUUAACCUUGUCCUAUGUAAACAAAUCUUUUUCCAUGUGCAGGCCUUUUCAGGGAUUGUCAAAGUUCAUUUCCACCUCUAUGGAAGAAGCCUAUCAACAUCUUGGCCAGUUUGUUUGCAAGGAAAGAGGAGAGGACAUCCCGUAACCUCCACAGGACCGGAGAUGUCUCCACGCUAUCCACCUCUCUCUGGCCUGUAAAACAGGAGACACAGUGACACAAAUGGGAUGCAGCGCAAACUUCUGUCAGACGGACAGGGAGGGACGCGAGACUGGCUGUUCCCCCGACGAGACACAAUAGCUCAUAUGACA